UACAGAGGGUGCGAGCGUUAAUCGGAAUUACUGGGCGUAAAGCGCACGUAGGUGGCGACGUAAGUCGGGUGUGAAAGCCCCGGGCUCAACCUGGGAAUUGCAUCCGAUACUGGAUGGCUUGAAUCCGGGAGAGGGAUGCAGAAUUCCAGGUGUAGCGGUGAAAUGCGUAGAUAUCUGGAGGAAUACCGGUGGCGAAGGCGGCAUCCUGGACCAAUUCUGACGCUGAGGAGCGAAAGCCAGGGGAGCAAACGGG
rnacentral:rRNA from 1 species